UACGUAGGGUGCAAGCGUUGUCCGGAAUUAUUGGGCGUAAAGAGCUCGUAGGCGGUCUGUCGCGUCGGAUGUGAAAACCCAGGGCUCAACCCUGGGCCUGCAUUCGAUACGGGCAGACUAGAGUUCGGUAGGGGAGACUGGAAUUCCUGGUGUAGCGGUGAAAUGCGCAGAUAUCAGGAGGAACACCGGUGGCGAAGGCGGUUCUCUGGGCCUUACCUGACGCUGAGGAGCGAAAGCGUGGGGAGCAAACAGG
rnacentral:rRNA from 1 species